GAUGAACGCUGGCGGCGUGCCUAAUACAUGCAAGUCGAGCGAACAGACGAGGAGCUUGCUCCUCUGACGUUAGCGGCGGACGGGUGAGUAACACGUGGAUAACCUACCUAUAAGACUGGGAUAACUUCGGGAAACCGGAUCUAAUACCGGAUAAUAUAUUGAACCGCAUGGUUCAAUAGUGAAAGACGGUUUUGCUGCCACUAAUAGAUGGAUCCGCGCCGCAUUAGCUAGUUGGUAAGGUAACGGCUUACCAAGGCAACGAUGCGUAACCGACCUGAGAGGGUGAUCGGCCACACUGGAACUGAGACACGGUCCAGACUCCUAAGGGAGGCAGCAGUAGGGAAUCUUCCGCAAUGGGCGAAAGCUUGACGGAGCAACGCCGCGUGAGUGAUGAAGGUCUUCGGAUCGUAAAACUCUGUUAUUAGGGAAGAACAAAUGUGUAAGUAACUAUGCACGUCUUGACGGUACCCAAUCAGAAAGCCACGGCUAACUACGUG
rnacentral:rRNA from 1 species